rnacentral:rRNA from 1 species
UACGUAGGAUGCUAGCGUUGUCCGGAUUUACUGGGCGUAAAGAGCUCGUAGGCGGCUCAGUAAGUCGGGUGUGAAAACUCCAGGCUCAACCUGGAGACGCCACCUGAUACUGCUGUGGCUAGAGUCCGGUAGGGGAGCAUGGAAUUCCUGGUGUAGCGGUGAAAUGCGCAGAUAUCAGGAGGAACACCAGUGGCGAAGGCGACUACCUGGCCUGUUCUUGACGCUGAGGCGCGAAAGCUAGGGGAGCAAACGGG